GGAACUCGAGAGCUUAUAGUUUGGUGAGGAACAUCUUUGUCAGCCAAAGAAGAAAGGGAAUUCAAGCGAGGACAAUGGCUUCUGGACAAGAACGAGCUGAACUUGACGCAAGGGCAAAGCAAGGAGAGACUGUUGUUCCUGGUGGAACUGGUGGCAAGAGCCUUGAAGCUCUGGAGCACCUUGCUGAAGCGGAGCCGAGGAGGGCAGACGAGGAGAGAUCAGCUAGGAACAGAGGGGUACAAGGAGCUGGGCCACCGUGGAGGUGA
rnacentral:misc_RNA from 1 species